rnacentral:rRNA from 1 species
CCAGCCGUAAACUAUGCUCGCUAGGUGUCAGGCAUGGCGCGACCGUGUCUGGUGCCGCAGGGAAGCCGUGAAGCGAGCCACCUGGGAAGUACGGCCGCAAGGCUGAAACUUAAAGGAAUUGGCGGGGGAGCACAACAACGGGUGGAGCCUGCGGUUUAAUUGGACUCAACGCCGGACAACUCACCGGGGGACGACAGCAAUAUGUAGGCCAGGCUGAAGACCUUGCCUGAAUCGCUGAGAGGAGGUGCAUGGCGUAGACGUCU